ensembl:snoRNA
GCUCCCAUUUGACUACCACGUUUUCUCCCAAUAAUAGAUUUUGGUGGCUAUGCUUAUGGGAUAGAUUAAAACUGCCAUGAUCUGAAGAGGGAGGAUUUGCUUGUGUCCUCCUUCUAUAUGAGAUGGCUGAACAGAAAGUU